rnacentral:rRNA from 1 species
GCGGCGCGCCUAACACAUGCAAGUCGAGCGAGAACCGGAGCUUCGGCUCCGGGGACAGCGGCGAACGGGUGAGUAACACGUGGAUAACCUGCCCUCGGCACCGGAAUAGCCCGGGGAACCCGGAUUAAUGCCGGAUGGCCCCACAUCCCUGCGGGGAACGUGGGAAAAGGUAGCUUCGGCCUCUGGCCGAGGAUGGGUCCGCGGUGGAUUAGCUUGUUGGUGGGGUAAUGGCCCACCAAGGCGACGAUCCAUAGCUGGUCUGAGAGGACGAUCAGCCACACUGGGACUGAGACACGGCCCAGACUCCUACGGGAGGCAGCAGUGGGGAAUCUUGCGCAAUGGGCGAAAGCCUGACGCAGCGACGCCGCGUGCGGGAAGAAGGCCUUAGGGUUGUAAACCGCUUUCAGGAGGGACGAAGCCACUCGGGUGAAUAGCCCAGAGGGUGACGGUACCUCCAGAAGAAGCCCCGGCUAACUACGUGCCAGCAGCCGCGGUAAUACGUAGGGGGCAAGCGUUGUCCGGAUUCAUUGGGCGUAAAGAGCGUGUAGGCGGCCAGGUAGGUCGGUUGUGAAAACUGGAGGCUCAACCUUCAGAGGUCGACCGAAACCAUCUGGCU